rnacentral:rRNA from 1 species
UGGGGAAUAUUGGACAAUGGGCGAAAGCCUGAUCCAGCCAUGCCGCGUGUGUGAAGAAGGUCUUCGGAUUGUAAAGCACUUUAAGUUGGGAGGAAGGGCAUUAACCUAAUACGUUAGUGUUUUGACGUUACCGACAGAAUAAGCACCGGCUAACUCUGUGCCAGCAGCCGCGGUAAUACAGAGGGUGCAAGAGUUAAUCGGAAUUACUGGGCGUAAAGCGCGCGUAGGUGGUUUGUUAAGUUGGAUGUGAAUUCCCCGGGCUCAACCUGGGAACUGCAUUCAAAACUGACUGACUAGAGUAUGGUAGAGGGUGGUGGAAUUUCCUGUGUAGCGGUGAAAUGCGUAGAUAUAGGAAGGAACACCAGUGGCGAAGGCGACCACCUGGACUAAUACUGACACUGAGGUGCGAAAGCGUGGGGAGCAAACA